rfam:Rattus norvegicus chromosome 9, whole genome shotgun sequence.
GGGGAUUUAGCUCAGUGGUAGAGCGCUUGCCUAGGAAGCUAAGGCCCUGGGUUCGGUCCCCAGCUCCG